AGAGUUUGAUCCUGGCUCAGAACGAACGCUGGCGGCGUGCUUAACACAUGCAAGUCGCGUGCGCAGUUCCUGUAGCAAUACAGGGAUGGGCGCACGGCGCACGGGUGCGUAACACGUGGGCAAUCUGCCCUCCGAUGGGGAAUAACCCCGCGAAAGCGGGGCUAAUUCCGCAUAACAUUCCUUGGACUCACGUUCGAGGAUUCAAAGCAGCAAUGCGUCGGAGGAGGAGCCCGCGCCCGAUUAGCUAGUUGGUGAGGUAACGGCUCACCAAGGCAAUGAUCGGUAGCUGGUCUGAGAGGAUGGCCAGCCACACUGGAACUGAGACACGGUCCAGACUCCUACGGGAGGCAGCAGUGGGGAAUCUUGCACAAUGGGCGAAAGCCUGAUGCAGCGACGCCGCGUGGGGGAUGAAGCUUUUCGGAGUGUAAACCCCUUUCGCCUGGGACGAAUGCCCGCAAGGGAGUGACGGUACCAGGAUAAGAAGCCCCGGCUAACUACGUGCCAGCAGCCGCGGUAAGACGUAGGGGGCCAGCGUUGUUCGGAAUUACUGGGUGUAAAGGGUUCGUAGGCGGUGCGGCAAGUUGGGAGUGAAAUCUCUGGGCUCAACCCAGAGGCUGCUUCCAAAACUGCUGUGCUUGAGUGUGAGAGAGGCUCGUGGAAUUGCAGGUGUAGCGGUGAAAUGCGUAGAUAUCUGCAGGAACACCCGUGGCGAAAGCGGCGAGCUGGAUCACUACUGACGCUGAGGAACGAAAGCUAGGGGAGCAAACAGGAUUAGAUACCCUGGUAGUCCUAGCCCUAAACGAUCAGGACUUGGGGUGCCGCCCGUUCGGGCGUCGUCCCGGAGCUAACGCGCUAAGUCCUGCACCUGGGGAGUACGGUCGCAAGACUGAAACUCAAAGGAAUUGACGGGGGCCCGCACAAGCGGUGGAACAUGUGGUCAAUUCGACGCUACGCGAGGAACUUACCUGGGCUCGAAAUGCUAGUGACAGCUGUAGAAAAUACGGCCUU
rnacentral:rRNA from 1 species